GGAGUCUAGCAUGUGCGCGAGUCAUUGGGACUCUACUAAACCUAAAGGCGCAAUGAAAGUGAAGGUUCGCCCUGCGCGGACCGAGGGAGGAUGGGCCGGUCCUCGGACCGGCUCCGCACUCCCGGGGCGUCUCGUUCUCAUCGCGAGAAGAGGCGCACCCAGAGCGUACACGCUGGGACCCGAAAGAUGGUGAACUAUGCCUGGUCAGGACGAAGUCAGGGGAAACCCUGAUGGAGGUCCGUAGCGAUUCUGACGUGCAAAUCGAUCGUCGGAACUGGGUAUAGGGGCGAAAGACUAAUCGAACCAUCUAGUAGCUGGUUCCCUCCGAAGUUUCCCUCAGGAUAGCUGGCGCUCGCUGCGUGCGAGUCUCAUUCGGUAAAGCGAAUGAUUAGAGGCAUUGGGGUCGAAACGGCCUCAACCUAUUCUCAAACUUUAAAUGGGUGAGAUCUCCGGCUUGCUUAAACGGUGAAGCCGCGAGAUAUCGGAUCAGAGUGCCAAGUGGGCCACUUUUGGUAAGCAGAACUGGCGCUGUGGGAUGAACCAAACGCCGAGUUAAAGCGCCCAAAUCGACGCUUAUGGGAUACCAUGAAAGGCGUUGGUAACUUAAAACAGCAGGACGGUGGCCAU
rnacentral:rRNA from 1 species